ensembl:snoRNA
CUCCCGGGUCCUGGAUACAGCCCUAGAUGAGCCCGCAGUAUUUUCCUUAUAUGAUCAGGUGUCACUGUGAGUCUGAGAGGAUUAGGAAAACGUGGCAGGUGAAAUGGGGCUGGGAACUGGGC